UACGUAUGGAGCAAGCGUUAUCCGGAUUUACUGGGUGUAAAGGGAGCGCAGGCGGCUUUGCAAGUCUGAUGUGAAAGGCCGGGGCUCAACCCCGGGACUGCAUUGGAAACUGUAAAGCUAGAGUGCCGGAGAGGUAAGCGGAAUUCCUAGUGUAGCGGUGAAAUGCGUAGAUAUUAGGAGGAACACCAGUGGCGAAGGCGGCUUACUGGACGGCAACUGACGCUGAGGCUCAAAAGCGUGGGGAGCAAACAGG
rnacentral:rRNA from 1 species